rnacentral:lncRNA from 1 species
AUGCAGAUUGUUUGUCUUGUUGCCUUACGCUUUGGUGUUGCUGCGGUUAGUGGCAAUGAGAAGUUUUUGUGGGAGAGGGCUUGGGAACUUAUUAGUAUUGGUUGGCUCACUCUUUCUUGUAUUGGACUUAUUUGGUAUUUUCUACUUCUUAUGUUGGUUUCUUUUACUAUGUGGGCAUUCUAAUUAAUGAUAAUUUUUAAUAA